rnacentral:rRNA from 1 species
AGCCAUGCAUGCCUAAGUAUAAACUGCACUUAUGGUAAAACUGCGGACGGCUCCAUAGAUCAGUAAUUGUUCGUUUGGCGAUUGAAAGUACUUGGAUAACCCUGUUAAUUGUAGAGCUAAUACAUGCACCGACGGCCUGAUCUGGCGACGGAGAGGGCUGCACUUGUCUAACAUUCUUAAUAGCCCGGGGGACUGRRUAAAUUGCGAGAGCCGGGGAGGGCUCUGGGUGGGCGCUGCAGAGACAACUGAGGGUGCAAAACCAGGGAGGAAGCGCAAAGCCAACACGGCGAAGACUCUGGUGGAAACCUUUAGGCUCAAGUCCGCCGAUGGAGGAUCAAUGGGGUAACUUGUUGAUCACUGUCGGGCCAAGGACGAAAAGCAAUUCUGUGGUUAGCUGGCCUGGAAGUCCGUCGAUCCGGUUUUCCGUUAUUCGGAGACCAACGGGGACAGGGUGAAACAGGACAAUUCAAAGCCGAUCGCUUUCAACCGAGGGCGACACGCCAUUCGAAUUUCUGACCUAUCAACUAGAUGGUAGGAUAGAGGCCUACCAUGGUUAUAACGGGUAACGGGGAAUCAGGGCUCGAUUCCGGAGAGGGAGCCUGAGAAACGGCUACCACUUCCAAGGAAGGCAGCAGGCGCGUAAAUUACUCCCUGCCGACACGG